CGUAACAAGGUCUCCGUUGGUGAACCAGCGGAGGGAUCAUUACUGAGUUACCGCUCAUCAACCCUUUGUGAACAUACCUUAACUGUUGCUUCGGCGGGUAGGCGUCCCCUAAAAAGGACGUCUCCCGGCCCUCUCCCGUCCGCGGGUGGGGCGCCCGCCGGAGGAUAACCAAACUCUGAUUUAACGACGUUUCUUCUGAGUGACACAAGCAAAUAAUCAAAACUUUUAACAACGGAUCUCUUGGUUCUGGCAUCGAUGAAGAACGCAGCGAAAUGCGAUAAGUAAUGUGAAUUGCAGAAUUCAGUGAAUCAUCGAAUCUUUGAACGCACAUUGCGCCCGCCAGCAUUCUGGCGGGCAUGCCUGUUCGAGCGUCAUUUCAACCCUCAAGCUCUGCUUGGUGUUGGGGCUCUACGGUUGACGUAGGCCCUUAAAGGUAGUGGCGGACCCUCUCGGAGCCUCCUUUGCGUAGUAACAUUUCGUCUCGCAUUGGGAUUCGGAGGGACUCUAGCCGUAAAACCCCCAAUCGCUGGUUCACCAACUCGGAUCAGGUAGGAAUACCCGCUGAACUUAAGCAUAUCAAU
rnacentral:rRNA from 1 species